UCCCUGAGGACUAGUGGUUAGGCCACAGUGCCUUCAAUGCUGCAGCCUGGGUUCGAUCCAGGGAGCCAGGGAA